rnacentral:rRNA from 1 species
AGCAUNUGGUUUAAUUNGAAGCAACGCGAAGACCCUUACCAAAUNUUNACAUCCUUUGACAANUNUAGAGAUAGAGCCUUCCCCUUUCGGGGGACAAAGUNACAGGUGGUGCAUGGUUGUNGUCAGCUCGUGUCGUGAGAUGUUGGGUUAAGUCCCGCAACGAGCGCAACCCUUAAGCUUAGUUGCCAUCAUUAAGUUGGGCACUCUAAGUUGACUGCCGGUGACAAAGCCGGAGGAAGGUGGGGAUGACGUCAAAUNAUCAUGCCCCUUAUGAUUUGGGCUACACACGUGNUACNAUGGACAAUACCAAGGGCAGCGAAACCGCGAGNUCAAGCANAUCCCAUAAAG